GCGGAGGUAACCAAACGGCUAGUGCGUUUGGCGGUGGCCGGCUGCAGACCGGCAUAAGGGGGUUCGACUCCCUCCCUCCGCU
rnacentral:tRNA from 1 species